GCCCACGUAGUAUAGCUUGGAUAGUACGUACGGUUGCGGUCCGUAAAACCGGAGUUCAAAUCUUCGCGUGGGCG
rnacentral:tRNA from 1 species